rnacentral:rRNA from 1 species
CCUACGGGAGGCAGCAGUCGGGAAUCUUGCACAAUGGGCGAAAGCCUGAUGCAGCAACGCCGUGUGAGCGAUGAAGGCCUUAGGGUCGUAAAGCUCUGUUGUUAGGGACGAAGGGCGAAGGGUUAAUAGCCCUUAGCCUGACGGUACCUUUCGAGGAAGCCCCGGCUAACUACGUGCCAGCAGCCGCGGUAAUACGUAGGGGGCGAGCGUUGUCCGGAAUUAUUGGGCGUAAAGGGCGCGUAGGCGGCCUGGUAAGUCUGCUGUGAAACCUUGGGGCUCAACCCCAAGCGUGCAGUGGAUACUGUCAGGCUAGAGGAUGGUAGAGGCCAGUGGAAUUCCCGGUGUAGCGGUGAAAUGCGCAGAUAUCGGGAGGAACACCAGUAGCGAAGGCGGCUGGCUGGGCCAUUCCUGACGCUGAGGCGCGAAAGCUAGGGGAGCGAACAGGAUUAGAUACCCUGGUAGUCCUAGCCGUAAACGAUGAACACUAGGUGUGGGGGGAGUCGAAUCCCUCCGUGCCGAAGCCAACGCGUUAAGUGUUCCGCCUGGGGAGUACGGCCGCAAGGCUAAAACUCAAAUGAAUUGACGGGG